GGUUAAGCGACUAAGCGUACACGGUGGAUGCCCUGGCAGUCAGAGGCGAUGAAGGACGUGCUAAUCUGCGAUAAGCGUCGGUGAGGUGAUAUGAACCGUUAUAACCGGCGAUUUCCGAAUGGGGAAACCCAGUGUGUUUCGACACACUAUCAUUAACUGAAUCCAUAGGUUAAUGAGGCGAACCGGGGGAACUGAAACAUCUAAGUACCCCGAGGAAAAGAAAUCAACCGAGAUUCCCCCAGUAGCGGCGAGCGAACGGGGAGGAGCCCAGAGCCUGAAUCAGUGUGUGUGUUAGUGGAAGCGUCUGGAAAGGCGCGCGAUACAGGGUGACAGCCCCGUACACAAAAAUGCACAUAUUGUGAGCUCGAUGAGUAGGGCGGGACACGUGGUAUCCUGUCUGAAUAUGGGGGGACCAUCCUCCAAGGCUAAAUACUCCUGACUGACCGAUAGUGAACCAGUACCGUGAGGGAAAGGCGAAAAGAACCCCGGCGAGGGGAGUGAAAAAGAACCUGAAACCGUGUACGUACAAGCAGUGGGAGCCUCUUUAUGGGGUGACUGCGUACCUUUUGUAUAAUGGGUCAGCGACUUAUAUUCUGUAGCAAGGUUAACCGAAUAGGGGAGCCGAAGGGAAACCGAGUCUUAACUGGGCGUUAAGUUGCAGGGUAUAGACCCGAAACCCGGUGAUCUAGCCAUGGGCAGGUUGAAGGUUGGGUAACACUAACUGGAGGACCGAACCGACUAAUGUUGAAAAAUUAGCGGAUGACUUGUGGCUGGGGGUGAAAGGCCAAUCAAACCGGGAGAUAGCUGGUUCUCCCCGAAAGCUAUUUAGGUAGCGCCUCGUGAAUUCAUCUCCGGGGGUAGAGCACUGUUUCGGCAAGGGGGUCAUCCCGACUUACCAACCCGAUGCAAACUGCGAAUACCGGAGAAUGUUAUCACGGGAGACACACGGCGGGUGCUAACGUCCGUCGUGAAGAGGGAAACAACCCAGACCGCCAGCUAAGGUCCCAAAGUCAUGGUUAAGUGGGAAACGAUGUGGGAAGGCCCAGACAGCCAGGAUGUUGGCUUAGAAGCAGCCAUCAUUUAAAGAAAGCGUAAUAGCUCACUGGUCGAGUCGGCCUGCGCGGAAGAUGUAACGGGGCUAAACCAUGCACCGAAGCUGCGGCAGCGACACUAUGUGUUGUUGGGUAGGGGAGCGUUCUGUAAGCCUGUGAAGGUGGCCUGUGAGGGUUGCUGGAGGUAUCAGAAGUGCGAAUGCUGACAUAAGUAACGAUAAAGCGGGUGAAAAGCCCGCUCGCCGGAAGACCAAGGGUUCCUGUCCAACGUUAAUCGGGGCAG
rnacentral:rRNA from 1 species